CACAGAGGCAGGGACCUUUAACAGAGACGUCCCCCUGCUUUUGAUGCAUCUCUCGCUCCUCCAGGAGGCAUUUGCAUUGUUGCAACGAGACCAGGCAAAUUUUCGGGAUGUAUUAUGGAAUCAGUUUCAGCUAAACGGUCAAAGUCGAGUUCAAGUCUCCCUUCGGUCCCAUUGAAAAUACUUUCCAUUCAUGGGAAGCUUCUCACCUUUUCACAGAUUUUUCUCCAAGUAGGCAUACGAGCAGCUUCAAGGGCCUCCGGUCACCAUGUGACUUUGUCUUCACUUCAAGCUUCUCUCGAUUGGCGUUUAAUGUGGAACCGCUCGGGUCGACGUGAGAGGCGUGCAUGCGAGCCCCGCAGGGAUGAAACGCGACUGGGAUUCAACUGAGGUGAAGUUAGGGUCAUUUAGGGCUGCAAUUAGCUCCAAGUACCCUCUUUUCUGACGUAUUCGGCCUGCUGCAAAAUCAUCGCUCUACGCAGCCCCAUCGUCCCUCGUCAGUUUAUUUGUGAAAAGUAAACCAUUCAUGCCAUCAACUUCCUUUCCCCAUUUUCCAACGACGUCUUUCUAUAGUUUGAGCUCGUGUUUUGGCAUCCGUGGCUUUACUUCUGGUUCAACUGUCUGCUUUUAACUCUUGAUCCCCCGGUAGGAACUAUUUCAAGGGGACGUUUUUUUGGUAACCAUGCCGAGGAGAGAGCGUCGGCCUCGCUGAGACUCGUACGACACUUCCUUCAACUCGGCAUGUGAAACCACUAUAAUUACUAGAUCAAAUUAAAAAGGUAGUCGUUUAGCUAAAACUAUUUUCAUCUCUUGUAUAUCAUAUCUAUAGUGAGGAUGAAUAUAAUGCCAAAUAUUCAUUAUUUGUAAAUAAAUAUAUAUAGAAAUAUAAAUAUAUAAUAUAUGCUUCAUUGAAACACGACUAUUUUCUGCAUUUGCUCAUGUUCUUGUUGUCAUUCUUUCUUGGUUAUUUUAUAAGCUGAUAUGAUGGCAUGCGAAAUACUGAUUCUGAAUGUAGACUUAGUUAUUCAUUUUGGAGAGUUAGAAAUUAUUCCACAGUCCCACUGAGAUGUUUAUUUAAGUCAAUGACAUUUGCAUUUCUCAUGUGUGUUAUUUUAGUGCAACUUCCGGUAUCAUUGGGUUCUUUUUUUGUAUUAUUUGCUUAGUUUGAAACCACAAUUGCAUUUUACCUUUUUCCAUGUUGAGCUAUUGAAAGACUUUUGCCUCUUUGAGUAGUUUGAGCAUUGCUGAGGUCAUCC
ensembl:lncRNA